AUUGAACGCUGGCGGCAGGCCUAACACAUGCAAGUCGAGCGGAUGAGAGGAGCUUGCUCUUUGAUUCAGCGGCGGACGGGUGAGUAAUGCCUAGGAAUCUGCCUGGUAGUGGGGGACAACGUUUCGAAAGGAACGCUAAUACCGCAUACGUCCUACGGGAGAAAGUGGGGGAUCUUCGGACCUCACGCUAUCAGAUGAGCCUAGGUCGGAUUAGCUAGUUGGUGAGGUAAUGGCUCACCAAGGCGACGAUCAGUAGCUGGUCUGAGAGGAUGAUCAGCCACAUUGGGACUGAGACACGGCCCAAACACCUACGGGAGGCAG
rnacentral:rRNA from 1 species